rnacentral:tmRNA from 1 species
GGUGGAGCUGCCGGGAAUCGAACCCGGGUCCUACGGCAUUCCCUCAAGGCUUCUCCGUGCGCAGUUCGCUAUGCCUCUGCUCGGAUCUCCCGGUCACGCGAACUAGCCGAGAUGACGAUCCCAGUCGCUGUGGUUGUCCCGAGGAGUCCCGCGACCGGACUCAUCGGUGGAUCCCUCUAGCUGAUGCCAGGGUCCGGGCCGAGGGCGUUCCCGGUCUGACAGACUAGCCGUCGCUUAGGCAGCGAGAGCGUAGUCGCGCUGAUGUGAAUCGGCGCUUAUUUGGUCGCAACGACGCUUACGGUGGUCUCUUGCCUGCACCGGCACGCUUCCCUUGAUUCGAUGCGCGAAGUCGAAACCGUUCAGCCCC